UUAGUUCGUAACCGACAAAAGAAAAGAAAAGGGUAUAAGUUUAGAAUGACUAUACAGCUAUCACCUUCCCAAACUUUUUCAAAUCGUCGACCAAAAAAAAAUUAGGAACUAUUCCUUUUGCAUCCUUAAUCAACAAAUCAAUUUACAUCAUUUCCAAACUAAUGAGAUCAACCCCAAUAUUAAUCAAAGCCAACCUUAGUCAACCUCUCCUUGCCCUCAUUCUUGAUCCUUGUCCAUUCAAAAAGAAAAACAAUCCACCAAACUCACCUCCGGAAGAGAGAGCUCCGACAAGACAAAAGCGCGACUAGACGGUUCCCCGAAGUAGGCUAACGCUAGUCGCCAUAUUCGAAUCAACGCCAUUUGAAUCUCGCAGCCGAUCCUAUUCAGCCCCUUUCCUGAGCCGCGACAACUACCAACGCAACACCGAAACGAAACCCCGCUGACUCCGUAUUGUAUCUUGGUCAACACAAGUCUGUUAAUUUGAUUGGAUAUAUGUGUACUGCCUUGCUAGUUCACUUAUCGGAAAAAGACUGCCUUGCUAGUUCACUUAUCGGAAAAAGGUAAUCCGGGGAAUGUUGGGAACUAGUGAUGAGGAGAGUAAAAUGCGGUUCAAGAAUAAAGACUUUUAUUUAUAAGUAUUUUGAAUUAACUAAUACUUAGGAUUCUUGGUUUGUUUUCGAAACCUUUGGUUGUCUUUUGGAUCCUACGUUUCAUCUUUAAACGGAUUGUGUUUGGUUUUUGAUAUCUGUAAUAGUGACACGUCAGCCCUAUUCGGGUCGGGGUGUUACAGUAUAUAUAUUAUGCGACUACUUUAUACGGGUCGUAUAUAGCUAUACGGCUCA
rnacentral:lncRNA from 1 species